rnacentral:lncRNA from 1 species
GGGAUGUGUGUAUACCUAUGGCUGAUUCAUGCUGAGGUUUGACAGGAAACAGCAAAAUUCUGUAAAGCAAUUAUUCUUCUAUUAAAAAAUAAGUUAAAAAAAACAACUCAAGGUAUUAAGGUAGUCUGCAAAGAGACAAUAGGAUUUGAUUUGGUCCAGCGAGCCGGAAGGCAGAGGAACGCGGAAGUGACGUCAUUUGGAGGCGGAUGAGUUGAAGCUGGAGCUCUAAGACCCAGGCNNNNNNNNNNNNNNNNNNNNNNNNNNNNNNNNNCGGACGUUUUCUGCCCUCAGUUCCGCGACGCCCAGGUGCCGUGUCUGUGGGCUGUGCUGGUGUCCCUCUGGCCGUUCCCCCUUCGGUGGUCCUGGCUCCCUCCUGGGUGCGCCACCCAGAGCUCUCCCAGUUGCCGUCAUCUUAGGAGAGCGUAUGCUUCCUGUCUUCACUCUGUUCCCAGGCUCAGGGAAGCAGUAACUGGCCCAUGGCCCAGCAUCUCCCACACUCCCUCCAGCAGGACCUGCAGGGAAAGCGCACUCGGCCCCUGCAGGCGGCAUCAACGGGAUCAAACAGGAGCCCUGGUGGUGCCAGGCGAACACGGUGAACCGGAAGAACACUCUCUCGGCUCUGAGACCUGUGCUGUCAUUGGAGCCAGAGCGAAGAAAGCGAGCAGGGGCCUAGGCGCUAAACUAAACAGGGCGCCUGCUGCUGAAAGGAGAGACUUAGAUAGGGUCCAGAGUCUCGUCACUCAGUCCUCAAAACGUCCAGGGUACAGAGAUUCACCCAUCACACCAAGAGCCAGAAAAGUCACAACCUGAAUGAGACAAGGCAAUCAACUGAUAUCAGUAUAAAGAUAAACCAAAGAUUUGAAUUAUCUGACAAGGAUUGGACAGCAGCCAUAAUUAAGAAUUGCUUCAGGAGGAGGGACAAAUUGGAAGAUUAGAACUGACAUAUACUCAAUACUAUAUAUUUAAAAAGUAAGUAAUAACUGUGUACCCGGGGAAUUCUACUCAAUACUCUGUAAUGACCCAUAUAGGAAAAGAAGCUAACAAAUAAUAGAUAUAUGUAUAACCAAUUUACUCUGCUGUACAGCAGAAACUAACAAAACAUUGUAAAUCUGUGUUCCAAUAAAUAUUAAUUUAAAAAUUAAAAAUCCAAUUCUUAUUUCACUGAAAAAAAAUGCUUCAAUAAGCGAUUCUAAAUUAUCUCUAAACAAAUGACAAAAUAGAAAACUUCAGCAAAAACAUUU